GGCUCGAUGGCGGAGGGUCCGCGCCUGCGCUCUUUGUUCGAUCGGCGCAGCCAAUUAUUGCAGGAGGAGCCCGUUCGACUCGGGCUCGAGCCA